rnacentral:rRNA from 1 species
CCUACGGGAGGCUGCAGCAAGGAAUUUUCGUCAAUGGGCGCAAGCCUGAACGAGCAACGCCGCGUGGGGGAUGACGGCCUUCGGGUUGUAAACCCCUUUUUGGGGGGACGAUAAUGACGGUACCCCCGGAAUAAGCCCCGGCUAACUCUGUGCCAGCAGCCGCGGUAAUACAGAGGGGGCAAGCGUUGUCCGGACUUACUGGGCGUAAAGCGCACGCAGGUGGCCGCGCAAGUGUUAUGUGAAAGCCCCGCGCUCAACGCGGGGAGGCCACGACA